AUCUGAUAUAGGGGUGCAGCAGCGCUGCCUUUGAGAUAGGUGCAACAAUGGUGGUACCUAAUGUCUUUCUCUAUCCACCCAUCUUCGAACCCAAACAAUAUUCCGAAACGACCUUGCUUUGAGUUACAAGAAAGACACAACAAUGUUGCCCUCUCUGUUGAACUACUUCUUCGUUCUAAAACCAGAAUUGGCGUAUGAUAGCCUUGUAUGUGAUGCCGAGCACUCAUUCAAAACCUCUCAUGUAGCCCUGCCCUGAACCAAAAUUUUCAUGAAUGCAGCCCUGCUCCAGGGUGUACUCCGAUUCCAUCAACAAAGACGUCCUGAAAGAAAUCAUAAUCAAAAGAAACUCAAUCAAAAACACCCUGAACUAUGCCGUUUAACCAGUAUCCU
rnacentral:lncRNA from 1 species